UAUUCUUCAAUCUUCCGCACGGCGCACCCGCACAAGGAGUUAGGGUUUUGACUGAGACUCGAUUUUUCUUCCGCACCCCAAGCCGCCGUUCCUUCCGAUUUUCUUCCACUGUUCCACACCUCGCUCCAUCGUGAUUCGCCUUCGUUCCACUUCGUAGUUCCAGGCUUCCAGCCGGCAGCCGGCAGUCGUAGUUCGUCUUCGUUCCACAUCAUUCCACUUCCAGCCGACAAUCGUAGUUCGUAUAUUCCAGCCGCAGUUCGUCUUCGUUCUUUCUUCGUAGUUUCAGCCGCAUAUCUAGAGCCUCCAUUCUUUCUUCGUAGUUCCAGCCGUAGGUCAGUAUAUUCGUAGCUUGAUAUCUUCCAUUCCAGCUGUUUUAAUGCAUUGUAGAGUGUAGAUUCUAGCCGUUUCAAUGGAAAUUAGUUUGAUUUAUGGAUGUGGUGGGUAAUGAUUGACUGAUUGUAAUGUAUUGUAAAUGAAAAUUAGUUUGAAAAUAACGGAUAUGGAGUUUGAAAACAAUGGAAAUUAGUUUGACUUUGAUUUAUAGAUAUGUGGGUAGUGAUUGACUUAACAAUCUUGCUGAGUUUUUGUAAAGCUGAAAUCCUUUAAGUUUUUUUGAAUUGUGUGAUACUGACGACGCCUGUCAUGUUGUGGUUCAACUACAUGGAUUCAAUGGAUAUGGAGUUUGAUGGAACUGCAACUGAUGCUUCAAAAAAUGAACGAGAUGUAGAAGAAACGGUUACCAAUACAAAUAUCGUUGAUGUUGAUUCAACAAAUAAGACAUCAGAUGUUCCAAAUCCACCAAAAAGAAGGAAGGUGGUGAAAAAAUCCAUAGUUUGGGAUCAUUUUGAGAGGCUAAAAAGUGAUCCUAAAGACCCUCAUGCUCAAUGUAAGUACAAAGAAUCUAUGCAUGUCAUUCCAAACGUAAUGGUACUGGGACUAUGAAGAAUCAUUUGGAAAAUUGUAAAAAAUACCCUUACCAGAAAAAGAGAGAUCCAACCCAAAUGACAUUAUCUUUCAAAACUAAAGCCAAAAACAAUGUUGGGGAUAAUAAGUCACAACUUGUAUGUGAGUCAUAUAGUUUAGAGAGUUUUCGGGAAGUGUUGGUUUGAAAUGGUAAUUGUUGGCGAAUUGCCAUUCAAAUUUGUGGAGGGUAAAGGAUUUAAGAAAUUUGUCAUGUACAUUCAACAUAGAUUUGUUGUUCCAUUUGAGUCGGCUUUUAGUACAAGAGGACAUGUUGUUGAUUCAUCACGUUGUUCAUUGGCUCCAAAAUAGUGGAGGCUCUCAUUUGUACUCAAAAUUGGCUAAAUUCUGGUCCAAUAGAUCUUGAAGUUCAACAUUACAUGGAAAAAGCUUCAUUAUUUCAAGAAGAAUUCAAAGCGGUUAUGGACAAUGAAAAAGACAUUCAAGACCUUCUAGAUUUUGUAAAAUUGUCCGUUAACGAUUAAGCAUUUAUCAUUUGAUUUUAUUAUAAUUUGGUUGUAUUUGGCAAUUGACUUUAUGUUUUAUUGUAAUUGGAUUGUAUUCGAUAAUUGACUUUAUGUUGUAAUUUCUAGUUUGAUUGUAUUGUAUGUGAGUGUGACUAUGUGUCAUGUGACAUUUCUAUUUC